UGUUUUCGGUGUUUUUGGUCUACCGUAUCUUUCAUCGAUUUGUAUUAAAUUCAUCGUAAAUACAACAGUAGAUAUGCCUGCACUUACACGUUCUCCUCAAUUGUGUGAAAAUUAAUUGAAUUAUAAAUACGUAAGAGUAUGGCAUCACUUUCAUGUUUUAGAACAUUAGCAUUAGGUGCUUGUAAUAUGUUUCAUAAAGGCUCACGUCCAUUAGUUUUGUGUGGUCCUUCAGGAAGUGGGAAAAGUACGCUUUUAAAAAAGCUUUUUGAAGAAUUUCCAGAUACAUUUGGUUAUUCUGUGUCUCAUACCACUAGAAGUCCUAGACCAGGCGAGGAAAAUGGGAAACAUUAUCAUUUUACUACUAAAGAUAAGAUGCAAAAACAAAUAGAACAGGAUGAAUUUCUUGAAACUGCUACAUUCAGUGGAAAUAUGUAUGGUACUAGUAAACGUGCAGUAGAAGAAGUACAAAAAGCAGGUAAAAUUUGCGUAUUAGAUGUUGAAGUGCAAGGUGUAAAACAAAUAAAACAAAGUUCUUUGGAUCCAUUGUAUAUAUUUAUUAAAGCACCAUCUAUCGAAGAAUUGGAGAAAAGAUUAAGAGCUAGGAAAACAGAAACAGAAGAUGCUUUGCAACGGAGAUUAUCCAUUGCUAGGCUAGAGAUAGAAUAUGAAUUAUUUUAGGAGAAAAGCCUGGUAAUUUUGACAUAGUGAUUGAAAAUGACAAUGUUUCUAAGGCAUAUGAAAAACUAAGAGACUUUUUGAUGUCAAAUCUAAAGCAAGGUGAUGCAGGACGUUAAACAUAUGCCUCUUAAAGAUACAUUAUUCUUUAAAAUCAUAAAUCAUAAAUUAUAAUUAUUUUUAUAUAUCAUUGUGUAAAUUAUAAUAAUAGAUAAUUAUUACACGAUGAAGUGCAUGAUUAACUUAUGUCCAAGGAUCGGAUUACUAGAUCAAAGAAUAAAUUUAUGCAAAUAAUUUUAUACAAUGCUAAAUAAAUCUUAAUAUUGCAAGAGUAAAUAUAGGUAUACAUGCUUCAAGCUUGUUACAUGCAUGGUACUAAUGUAAAAAUUCAGAUUAAUGUCACUUUAAAGGCAUUGUAAAGCAAGGAUUACAAAUGUAUAGUUUAAAGUAAAACUAUGAAUAAGGAAACAAGGAUAUGCAGAAUGUUCAUACAAUUUGUUUCUAUCCAAUACUUAAAGAGACUAAGUAUAUGUCAAGUAACAGA